rnacentral:rRNA from 1 species
UACAGGGGGUGCGAGCGUUAAUCGGAAUUACUGGGCGUAAAGGGCGCGUAGGCGGUCGAGUAAGUCGGAUGUGAAAUCCCCGGGCUUAACCUGGGAAUUGCAUUCGAUACUGCUUGGCUAGAGUGUGGAAGAGGGAAGCGGAAUUUCCGGUGUAGCGGUGGAAUGCGUAGAUAUCGGAAGGAACACCAGUGGCGAAGGCGGCUUCCUGGUCCAACACUGACGCUGAGGCGCGAAAGCGUGGGGAGCAAACAGG